CCUCAUUAUUUAUAUAUAUAUUCAAUAUAGCGCUCCACUUGCUGGUAUAUUGUUUAUACCUUUUUUUCUUGUAUUUUGCAUUUUCUUGUAUUUUGCACUUCAUUGUGGAUUAAGGUAUUCCACUUUUUGUGUUGAGCUGCUUUUAUUCAGGCACUUUAGUAUAUCACUCACUAUCUCAGUAAGGGAUAGUUUUUGUUUUCUUUGUAAG